GAUGAAUGCUGGCGGCGUGCCUAAUACAUGCAAGUCGAGCGGUAACAGGAGUAGUUUACUACUUGCUGACGAGCGGCGGACGGCUGAGUAACGCGUGGGAACAUGCCCCAAAGUGAGGGAUAAGCACCGGAAACGGUGUCUAAUACCGCAUAUGGUCUUCGGAUUAAAGGAUUUAUCCGCUUUGGGAGUGGCCCGCGUACGAUUAGUUUGUUGGUGAGGUAAUGGCUCACCAAGACUACGAUCGUUAACUGGUCUGAGAGGAUGGCCAGCCACACUGGAACUGAGACACGGUCCAGACUCCUACGGGAGGCAGCAGUGGGGAAUAUUGGACAAUGGGGGCAACCCUGAUCCAGCAAUGCCGCGUGUGUGAAGAAGGCCUGAGGGUUGUAAAGCACUUUCAGUGGGGAGGAGGAUUGUUUGGUUAAGAGCUGAAUAAUUGGACGUUACCCACAGAAGAAGCACCGGCUAACUCCGUG
rnacentral:rRNA from 1 species